rnacentral:misc_RNA from 1 species
AUGGCUAUCAAAGGUGGGCUGAAGUCAACAGGGAGUUUGGAGUUGGACGGUGGUGGCGAUGACUGGUUGGGAGUGGUCACUGUAGUUCCAGUGACGGCGGCAGCUGGAGAUGGGGCCCACUGAGAGUGGUGGUGCGCCGGAGAAGGCGAAGGGGCGAAGGUUCUGAAAGCCAUGUUGUGGUGGUUUGUCUGCGAAGCGUGUUAAUGGAAUUU